rnacentral:rRNA from 1 species
UACGUAGGGUGCGAGCGUUGUCCGGAAUUAUUGGGCGUAAAGAGCUCGUAGGCGGUGUGUCACGUCGGCCGUGAAAACCUGCAGCUUAACUGUGGGCGUGCGGUCGAUACGGGCAUCACUGGAGUUCGGCAGGGGAGACUGGAAUUCCUGGUGUAGUGGUGAAAUGCGUAGAUAUCGGGAGGAACACCAGUGGCGAAGGCGACUACCUGGCCCAUUCUUGACGCUGAGGCGCGAAAGCUAGGGGAGCGAACGGG